GCCCGCCUAGCUCAGUUGGUAGAGCGCAAGGCUCUUAAGCCGCAAGCAAUCAAAACAUGAUUGGUGGUACCUUGUGGUCCGGGGUUCGAGCCCCCGGGUGGGCG